AUUGAACGCUGGCGGCAGGCCUAACACAUGCAAGUCGAACGGUAACAGGAAGCAGCUUGCUGCUUGCUGACGAGUGGCGGACGGGUGAGUAAUGGUCUGGGAAACUGCCUGGAUGGAGGGGGAUAACUACUGGAAACGGUAGCUAAUACCGCAUAACGUCGCAAGACCAAAGAGGGGGACCUUCGGGCCUCUUGCCAUCAGAUGUGCCCAGAUGGGAUUAGCUUGUUGGUGGGGUAACGGCUCACCAAGGCGACGAUCCCUAGCUGGGUCUGAGAGGAUGACCCAGCCACACUGGAACUGAGACACGGUCCAGACUCCUACGGGAGGCAGCAGUGGGGAAUAUUGCACAAUGGGCGCAAGCCUGAUGCAGCCAUGCCGCGUGUAUGAAGAAGGCCUUCGGGUUGUAAAGUACUUUCAGCGGGGAGGAAGGUGUUGUGGUUAAUAACCACAGCAAUUGACGUUACCCGCAGAAGAAGCACCGGCUAACUCCGUGCCAGCCGCCGC
rnacentral:rRNA from 1 species